rfam:Parcubacteria bacterium GW2011_GWB1_49_7 TY47_C0004, whole genome shotgun sequence.
GGGGAUGAUCGGCCUAGACAAGCCGGACAUCUGACUGACGCGCGGAAGAGCCGAAGCGACUCUUAAAUCCGCUUCAAACCUAAAUGCAAAAUCACCUUUUGCGGUCGUCUCGCCGUUUUAUACGGCUAGCGAUUUCCAGUUCGCCUACGCUCGAGUUUAAUCUCGCGUAACGGGCUGCGCGAUGCUCUGAGAAGUCUCAGGUAAGAGAUAUCGUGUAAUCACAUGGGACUCUGUUCCGCCAUUCCUCUAAGCGGGACGAAACUAAGAGGAUAGAGAUUUGAGAGUUUUCGUUCGCUUUGUAUCUCAAGUCUCGAAUCAUCCGCCAACCGGCGGAGAAGCUAACUACUCCGCGUAGACCUCAGUCGGAUUCCGUCUUGCACGGCGGUUCGAUUCCGCCCAUCUCCACUG